rnacentral:rRNA from 1 species
UACGUAGGGUGCAAGCGUUAAUCGGAAUUACUGGGCGUAAAGCGUGCGCAGGCGGUUUUGCAAGACAGAUGUGAAAUCCCCGGGCUCAACCUGGGAACUGCAUUUGUGACUGCAUGGCUAGAGUACGGUAGAGGGGGAUGGAAUUCCGCGUGUAGCAGUGAAAUGCGUAGAUAUGCGGAGGAACACCGAUGGCGAAGACAAUCCCCUGGACCUGUACUGACGCUCAUGCACGAAAGCGUGGGGAGCAAACAGG